GUCUAUAUAGAUUAUUUUAAAUCGUGAUGCUGUUAACUUCAAGAAGAAUUUUGUUCUGUAGUCG
rnacentral:tRNA from 1 species